CCUACGUGAGGCUGCAGUGGGGGAUAUUGCACAAUGGGGGAAACCCUGAUGCAGCGACGCCGCGUGUGGGAAGACGGUCCUCUGGAUUGUAAACCACUGUCCCCAGGGACGAAGAUGACGGUACCUGGGGAGGAAGCUCCGGCUAACUACGUGUCAGCAGCCGCGGUAAUACGUAGGGAGCGAGCGUUGUCCGGAAUUACUGGGUGUAAAGGGAGCGUAGGCGGGACUGCAAGUUGGGUGUCAAAUCUACCGGCUCAACCGGUAGCCGCACUCAAAACUGCAGUUCUUGAGUGAAGUAGAGGCAGGCGGAAUUCCUAGUGUAGCGGUGAAAUGCGUAGAUAUUAGGAGGAACACCAGUGGCGAAGGCGGCCUGCUGGGCUUUUACUGACGCUGAGGCUCGAAAGUGUGGGGAGCAAACAGGAUUAGAUACCCUUGUAGUC
rnacentral:rRNA from 1 species